AAAGAUUAAGCCAUGCAUGUCUAAGUAUAAGCAAUUAUACGGCGAAACUGCGAAUGGCUCAUUAUAUAAGUUAUCGUUUAUUUGAUAGUAUCUUGCUACUUGGAUAACCGUGGUAAUUCUAGAGCUAAUACAUGCUAAAAAUCCCGACUUCGGAAGGGAUGUAUUUAUUAGAUUAAAAACCAAUGCCCUCUGGGCUCUCUUGGUGAAUCAUGAUAACUUCUCGAAUCGCAGGGCCUUGCGCCGGCGAUGGUUCAUUCAAAUUUCUUCCCUAUCAACUUUCGAUGUUUGGGUAGUGGCCAAACAUGGUUGCAACGGGUAACGGAGGGUUAGGGCUCGACCCCGGAGAAGGAGCCUGAGAAACGGCUACUACAUCCAAGGAAGGCAGCAGGCGCGCAAAUUACCCAAUCCCGAUCCGGGGAGGUAGUGACAAUAAAUACUGAUACAGGGCUCUUUUGGGUCUUGUAAUUGGAAUGAGUACAAUUUAAAUCCCUUAACGAGGAACAAUUGGAGGGCAAGUCUGGUGCCAGCAGCCGCGGUAAUUCCAGCUCCAAUAGCGUAUAUUAAAGUUGUUGUGGUUAAAAAGCUCGUAGUUGAACCUUGGGCCUGGCUGGCCGGUCCGCCUCACCGCGUGCACUGGUCCGGCCGGGCCUUUCCCUCUGUGGAACCCCAUGCCCUUCACUGGGUGUGGCGGGGAAACAGGACUUUUACUUUGAAAAAAUUAGAGUGCUCCAGGCAGGCCUAUGCUCGAAUACAUUAGCAUGGAAUAAUGAAAUAGGACGUGCGGUUCUAUUUUGUUGGUUUCUAGGACCGCCGUAAUGAUUAAUAGGGACAGUCGGGGGCAUCAGUAUUCAAUUGUCAGAGGUGAAAUUCUUGGAUUUAUUGAAGACUAACUACUGCGAAAGCAUUUGCCAAGGAUGUUUUCAUUAAUCAGGAACGAAAGUUAGGGGAUCGAAGACGAUCAGAUACCGUCGUAGUCUUAACCAUAAACUAUGCCGACUAGGGAUCGGACGAUGUUAUUUUUUGACUCGUUCGGCACCUUACGAGAAAUCAAAGUGCUUGGGCUCCAGGGGGAGUAUGGUCGCAAGGCUGAAA
rnacentral:rRNA from 1 species